ensembl:snRNA U6 U6 spliceosomal RNA
GUGCUCGCUUCAGCAGCACAUAUACUAAAAUUGGAAUGAUACAGAGAAGACUAGCAUGGCCC